rnacentral:sRNA from 1 species
CGGCGAGUGAAGCGGCAACAGCUCAAAUUUGAAAGCUGGCCCCCCCGGGGGUCCGCGUUGUAAUUUGUAGAGGGUGAUUCGGCGAGGGCUCCCGCCUAAGUCCCCUGGAACGGGGCGUCAUAGAGGGUGAGAAUCCCGUAUGCGGUGGGCUGCCUUAGCCAUGUGAAUCUCCUUCGACGAGUCGAGUUGUUUGGGAAUGCAGCUCUAAAUGGGAGGCAAAUUUCUUCUAAAGCUAAAUACCGGCCAGAGACCGAUAGCGCACAAGUAGAGUGAUCGAAAGAUGAAAAGCACUUUGGAAAGAGAGUUAAAAAGUACGUGAAAUUGUUGAAAGGGAAGCGCUUGCAGCCAGACUUGUCCGCAGUUGCUCAGCCGGUCUCCUGACCGGCGCACUCUUCUGCGGCCAGGCCAGCAUCAGUUCGGGCGGUCGGAUAAAGGCCCCGGGAACGUAGCUCCUCUCGGGGAGUGUUAUAGCCCGGGGUGGAAUGCGGCCAGCCUGGACUGAGGAUCUCGCUUCGGCUAGGAUGCUGGCGUAAUGGCUGUAAGCGGCCCGUCUUGAAACACGGACCAAGGAGUCUAACAUCUAUGCGAGUGUUUGGGUGUCAAACCCAUGCGCGUAAUGAAAGUGAACGGAGGUGGGAACCCUCGCGGGUGCACCAUCGACCGAUCCUGAUGUCUUCGGAUGGAUUUGAGUAAGAGCAUAGCUGUUGGGACCCGAAAGAUGGUGAACUAUGCCUGAAUAGGGUGAAGCCAGAGGAAACUCUGGUGGAGGCUCGCAGCGGUUCUGACGUGCAAAUCGAUCGUCAAAUUUGGGUAUAGGGGCGA